AUACUGAGGGUGCAAGCGUUAAUCGGAAUUACUGGGCGUAAAGCGCACGUAGGCGGUUUAUUAAGUCAGAUGUGAAAGCCCUGGGCUUAACCUGGGAACUGCAUUUGAGACUGGUAGGCUAGAGUAUGGUAGAGGAUAGUGGAAUUCCGGGUGUAGCGGUGAAAUGCGUAGAUAUCCGGAGGAACAUCAGUGGCGAAGGCGGCUAUCUGGACCAAUACUGACGCUGAGGUGCGAAAGCGUGGGGAGCAAACAGGAUUAGAUACCCCUGUAGUCC
rnacentral:rRNA from 1 species